AUACGAAGGGUGCAAGCGUUAAUCGGAAUUACUGGGCGUAAAGCGCGCGUAGGUGGUUUUGUAAGUUGGAGGUGAAAGCCCCGGGCUCAACCUGGGGAUUGCCUCCAAAACUGCAUGACUAGAGUACGGUAGAGGGUAGUGGAAUUUCCUGUGUAGCGGUGAAAUGCGUAGAUAUAGGAAGGAACACCAGUGGCGAAGGCGACUACCUGGACUGAAACUGACACUGAGGUGCGAAAGCGUGGGGAGCAAAAAGGAUUAGAAACCCUGGUAGCCCACGCCGUAAACGAUGUCAACUAGCCGUUGGGAUCCUUGAGAUCUUAGUGGCGCAGCUAACGCAUUAAGUUGACCGCCUGGGGAGUACGGCCGCAAGGUUAAAACUCAAAUGAAUUGACGGGG
rnacentral:rRNA from 1 species